rnacentral:pre_miRNA from 1 species
UUGAGCAAGAUGGAGAAGCAGGGCACGUGCAUUACUAACUCAUGCACAUAACCACUCACUCGCAUGAACACAAUCUGUUGCUGGAGUUAUGACUCUCACCUACUUGAAGGUUUUAUUAGCUCUAGUGAGUUAGUUCUUCAUGUGCCCAUCUUCCCCAUCAAGACCAC